AUGGUGCCUCCAAAUGCCCCCAUGAAGUCUGUUUUCCAGCUUAUAGCAUCAGAUAUGGAGAAACUGAAGCAGCUCCAGGAACAGUUGAAUGGCAAAAGCGCUAAGAAAAUAUUAUUUUUCCUCCCUCCUGUUUUCUCUGGAUUGCUUGUACCUCUUCAUAUACACUGGGUUUCCUCCUUGGCAAAGAAAGUUACACAUUUUCCACAGUUUUCUGCUCUUCUGAUCUGGAACAUGUUGUUGUGUGCUGCUAAGAACACCCAGCUUUGGAGGUUCUGCAAAAGACAAGGUUUUGAUACUUGCCUGGGCUGCAUGGCAUCCCACCAGUGUGCCAGGCCUGAGCAUGCACACCAGUGA
rnacentral:lncRNA from 1 species